rnacentral:lncRNA from 1 species
GGUGCCUGCACUUGCCUUUAUUCCCAGUGUACAACUGCUCAGAAUUCUUUGGCUUCUAUCUUCUGAUCUUUAGCUUCUACUGCAACUAUCGGUCCUCAGAUCCUGGUCUUCACUCUUGAUGAACCACGCUUCUUCUACUCGUAGCAACCAAGUAACACAAACAGACAAACAAACAAUCAUGACUAAGAACAAACAACAAACAAAAGAAAA